rnacentral:ncRNA from 1 species
CCAAAGGCUCUUUUAAGAGCCGCCCACAAUUAACAAAAGAAUAAUU